UCAUGUGGGGCGUGUGUGGUGUGAAAACAGGAAAAUGCGUGUGUCUCACACUCACUGCGUGAGACUUGAGAGCUCUGCUGUUAUCGAUCAGCAGAUGUUGGGGGUCUGAAGACACAGUUUGUGUGCUAUGUGAAAGGAGAAGAGGGGGUUAGAAGAAUGCAGGGCAGUUGGUUUGCAAUUGUAGCCAGUUCAGGAGAUCCUUCUGUAGAGACGAGUUCAAUGGAGGCAAACAACUGUCAAGAUGCGUCGUGGCAAGUCCUUGGAGGAACACAAACAUGGACAGGUUUGUGCCACAGUGCUGUCUGGAUUUUUUUGCCCACCCAGGAUUGUUGCAACCACAACAAGGAACCAUUCUGUGAACUUUGAAGAAAUCAAGAACCUGGCCACUCUGCCUUAAGAUAUUUACCACUCUGUUGGAUCAUCCUCUCUACCAGGACUAACUCGGCCAUGGGAACCUAUCUGACAGAGUUCCCUUGUUCCACACCUGUAAAUAAAAUCACUUACCUUUUUCAUCCACCUUCUAUGUUUUGGUCACUCAGUUCCACUCUACUUCCUGACUUCCUGACUUUGUCAUUUACUGUAUGUAUUUAGGAUGACUUAAAGUAGGGGUGGCCUUUGUCGGCCACUGUUUUGCUCCAACACACCUGGUUUUACAGAAAAUGGAUGGAUGGAUGGAUGGAUGAAUGAAUGAAUGAAUGAAUGAAUUGAAUUUCAGUAAAUGGGUGACGAUCAAGCUUCUGCAGAACUUAAUCACUGAAUCAAGUGUGAUGGAGCAGGGGAACAAGUAAACCAUGCAGGACAGUAGCCCCCAAGGACCAGGAUUGCUUACUCCUGACUUAUAUCAUCUACUGAAUCAAACUAUAUCUCAAUACCUAAAAAUGGAGUUACCCAUUUUUGUUUUUGCUAAAGGAUGUUGAACCUUUCUAUCAAAAUUUCUUAUCCCCCCCCACAAUGAUUUAAACAUCACUUGUAGUUUUUCUGUCUAAUGUACAAAGUAAAAACAGGAAUUAUCUAACAACAGUUGAUCAGUUGCCCCAUGGUUAGAGUUCUAUCUAUACAAACCAAUACAAAGUUGUUCAGAUCCAAUCUAUGAGUAUUUUAACAGGAGUAGGCACUUUGGAACAACAACACGUAUUCCAGUGGAACACAGGGAGUGUGUAAACGGUUAUAUGAAGAUGAGCAAAGUUUUAUGUACGAUGUUCAUUUCAAGGUCUUUAGAUCUCAAUGACAAGAAGUGUCAGAGCAGUUACGCUGCAUGUAAAUGCCCAGUGAGACAAUUUAAUUGCUCUCUUGAUUACAACUUUCUUUAAGAGCAGAAUUACUUGGCAGAUGGGUCUGAUUUGCAACAUGUAUUUAUAUAUAUAAAAAGAAAAGAUGGCCCUGUUCACACAAAGAAAAUAAAAUGGGAUAAUUUAUAUUAAUGUGUCUUUUUUUCCUUGCGUUACACCAACUAAACACUUAAUCAUGGCUCUAUCUAUCUUUGGUGCUACAAAUCUUUCUUUACUGUAAUGGACGCCUUGGUCAUUAAAAUGUGCAGCAAAUCACUUUACUGUUUAUCAUAAAAGUGUCACAUGAAACAUCAGAGCCGUUAAAAGUAGUGGGAAGAGUGCCAAAUCUCAUAUAGGUACAAUAAAACAUUCAGAAAUAUGCUUUAUAUUGCUGGCAUUUACUGCAUCAAUAAACUCCCAUGAAUGACAAAUGUGUGAUGACGGGUGAAAACAUUAGCAUGAAAAAUGCUGCUACAAAAACAAUCUAUGUACGGAUAAUUGUAAAAGAAAAAAGAAAAGGCUCAAACAACAGAUGUCUCUUUCCUGAGAUGGAAAGCCUCAUGGCAAUGAU